AUACGGAGGGUGCGAGCGUUGUUCGGAAUUACUGGGCGUAAAGGGCGCGCAGGCGGCUUGAUAAGUCAGAUGUGAAAGCCCACGGCUCAACCGUGGAAGUGCAUCUGAAACUGUCUGGCUUGAGUACUGGAGAGGAAAGUGGAAUUCCUGGUGUGGAGGUGAAAUUCGUAGAUAUCAGGAGGAACACCGGUGGCGAAGGCGACUUUCUGGACAGAUACUGACGCUGAGGCGCGAAAGCGUGGGGAGCAAACAGGAUUAGAUACCCUAGUAGUCC
rnacentral:rRNA from 1 species